GGGUGUGUCUGGAGGGCCACAUGAUUGUGAGAUGCUUUGUGGGUGCUGGGAAGGACAGCCGGGGCCCGUAACUGCUAAGCUGCACGUCCAGCCUGAGAAGGCUAAUACUUAGAAAGGCUUGGUUUGUUUCACCGCUGCCCGCCCUGCCCUCUCGAGUGUCUUCCUGGGCUGUCUUCACUGCCUCUUUGUCCAAAGUGAAGUUGUCGAGUUCUCCAGGGUGGUGGCUUUCUGCCCCUGUGCCUGUACCGCCUUUAUCUAGCAACUGCUUGGCCCUCCUUACCUCAUUGGGUUGAUUCCCUGUCUCCGGCUCUGCUGCCUUCUGGAAGGCUGGUAAAUAUUUGGCUAGUGUCAGGACUUUUGCACAAAAGCACGGAGCUCCUGAUCUGUGAUAAGUCCCUACAAGAGAGUUAUAGCAGGAAGGGAGGGGUCAUUUUAACUUCUAAAGGCCACCGAGGCACACGGCAGGGUGACCUAGGUGACUUGACUCUUCCCCAAUUUCUCCUUUGUGAAUCGAGGGUUGUGAUUUUUUACUUUGGGAGGGUGUGGUGAGGUUUAUAUUUUCAACUGUGUACAGUGGCUGGCACAACUUAGCAGCUCGCCCAUGAGAGAUCCAUGCUACACACCCACACACACACAUGCACACUGUGAGUGUGGAGGUGUCCAUGGUGGUGUGGCCAUGUGCCCCGCUCGUAUUUGAAUCUCCAUGCUUAUAUCUGUUGGUUGAGAAGGGUGCCGUGUGACUGAGACCUUGUGCUUUUGAGUCUGGCAGGUUCUCAUACUGACUGUUGUUUGCUGACACAUAUGGCCUUGGGGAAGUUAUUUGGUGUCCUUGGGGAAGUACACCGGGAAUGGUGGUAACUUCAUGAUCAAAAGCUGGGGGUAAUAUCUGGAGCCCUUCUCCUGCCCCAGGCUUGCUCCUUCAUUUUGUUUGUUUGUUUGUUUUAGAAAUGUUUAGCAUAUUUUGUUUAUUUAUUUAUCUGUAUGUAUAUGCAUGUAUACCUGUAUACAUAUGCAUGUAUAUGCACAUAUACCUGUAUACAUAUCCAUGUAUAUGCAUGUAUACCUUCUACCACGUGGAUCCCAAGGAUUGAAAUCAAAUUACCAGGCUGCGAUCCAAAGCAGAAGAAAGUCUCCUCCCAGGGUCUCCUAGCCAAUUCCCUGGCCUUCUGGGGGUAGCUCCCCGGUGGGGAGGCAGCAAGCCUGAGUGAGAGCACAGGAGCUGAGAGGCCUGAAUUUGCCAGGGCAGACCUCAAAGGAACCCCAGCUUGUAACGCAUGGCGGCCACUGUGCACUGUUCUGCAGAGCAAUCAGCCUGGACAGCUUGAAGACCCUUCCACCUCUGACCGUAAUACAAGUCCUGAAAAGUCCCAGGAGAAAGAUCCCAAUCUCUCUGGUGGCUCCAGGAUGGCUUCCUCCUACUGGCUUCAUGGCAAGUUCAGCAUGCUCAAUAGGGGAACAAAAUAGU
rnacentral:lncRNA from 1 species